AAUGAACGCUGGCGGCAUGCCUUACACAUGCAAGUCGAACGGCAGCAUGACCUAGCUUGCUAGGUUGAUGGCGAGUGGCGAACGGGUGAGUAAUGCAUCGGAACGUGCCUUUUAGUGUGGGAUAACGUAGCGAAAGUUACGCUAAUACCGCAUAUUCUCUGAGGAGGAAAGCAGGGGACCUUCUGGCCUUGCGCUAGAAGAGCGGCCGAUGUCGGAUUAGCUAGUUGGUGAGGUAAAGGCUCACCAAGGCAACGAUCCGUAGCGGGGCUGAGAGGAUGAUCCGCCACACUGGGAUUGAGGGACGACCCAGGCUCCUACGGGAGGCAGGAGUGGGGAAGUUUGGAGAAGGGGGGCAAGCCUGAUCCAGCCAUGCCGCGUGAGUGAAGAAGGCCGUCGGGUUGUAAAGCGCUUUCGGCUGGGAAGAAAUCGCACCCUAUAAUACAGGGUGUGGAUGACGGUACCAGCAUAAGAAGCACCGGCUAACUACGU
rnacentral:rRNA from 1 species